UUCUUCCUAAGCUACGCCCUUGUUUCCAAAGCGCAAAUUAUCUAGUGAAAUUGUCAUGGUAUGAUCGCACAACGAGCAAUCCUUCAUUUGGGUAGCCAACGCAAGCUUUUCCGGCAGAAUGUUUCGCACGUCAGAGGCGACUCAGAAAUUUUAACCCCGUAUAGAAUGAUUGCGCUCUCGAUAUUCUUUCCUCCUUUGUUUGGGGAUGAAUUGAUAAUUAUUUAAUUGGUGGACGAAUUUCGGUGUUGGUUUUGGAGAGUGCGAAAACAUUUGUAGGGUUUUCUUCGACAUUUUCAUCGCAACUGGUGAAAGGCGAGACCUUUCCCUACCCCUUAUCCCAUUUUUUUUCUCGUUAGUGUUAUUCUACCAUUAUCCCUAAAAUUGGAGGUUAUUAGUAAAUGUGCUCUGUUUACCCAUUGGCUGGGGCAAAUCGACAUGAAAAUUGCUCUGGGGCAAAUCGACAUUCCUCCAUUUUAAAUAGAUUGCUUCGAAUAUCCUUUACAUUUGGCGCACAUUUUUGUACAGUUUCAGAGAAUUGGUAGCUAAUUGCCACUGGCUAUUCAGCAUUAGGGAUUCAUUUUUUGGAAAAAUAAUCAUUAAUUAAAAUCUAGCAAUACAUAAUACUGUUGAAUUACAAUUAAUUUAGUGUUAUAAGUUUCCAUGCCCGGUUCUCACUGAUUCCAGUAGUUCAAAGAUUAUAUGUCAUUUGUUCCAGACGCUUCCCCUGCACCUAGAAUCCCCAUUCUUUUGGGACAGGGACUUAGAAGGGGAAGAGUUCUCCCCUGUCCCGCCACUGUCACUCAACACUCAUGGACGUUUUCGGGAUGCCCUCUUGUUUGGGGAUGGCUUGGGGGCUCCAGGACAAGGUCAACAUGUCCAAGGGAUUCCAAGAAGUCUCCCAUCUAUCUCAGGGACUUUCAGGUGACCCUAUGGCAGUAAAAUAAAAAGUUCAAUAUUCUUUUAACAUCAAAAACUGUUUUCAAUUUGCAUCCACAAACCCUAACCCGAAUGAUAACUGAAAAUAUGGUGCUGAUUCCCGAUGCAAUUAACAAAGUUGAUUUUCUACAUGUAUGUUUUUAAAUAUUCUAUUAAUAGUUUUCAGCAGUUCUUCCCUAGGUUUUUGAAUGGAUUGAAGAGUUUAGAGGUUCACUUUUGCACAGCUAGGGUUAUCAUUGACUGUGAUGGCACAUACACAAUAGAUGAUAAGGAAUUGCUCUGUGAUUGAUAAAAGUUAAAAACUGUUGAGAGCAAGACCCCUGGGAUAGUGAUUUUAUCAAUCAGGACUAAUUGUACUGACAAUGGCACAACGAUUGAAAGAUUAAUCCCUAUGACAAGAGUGGAAUUAUGAUUGUGCACCAAAAUGGAUCAUGCACAGUGAAACUAUAAACAAAAGUGUGUUUCUCUAACUAGUAAAAUAAUGAACAGAAAUCUGCUGUUUGUUUCACUUAAUUGCUUACCUGCUAAUUGAUUGCAGGGUCAUCAAAUAUUCUUAUAUGUUACAGAUGCCUUUUUCGAGCUAGUUUUGGAUAUCCUGUGACCAUUUUCUCAGUUUGUCAUGCUAGAGAUCUGGAUUUCUGGUCUAUGCAACCAGCCUGGAAGUGAUUAAAAUUUGCAUUAGAAAAUUUAGUAAUCUUAAAGCGAACUGAAAUAGAUGCUGUUUUUAAAUUAAUUGUAUUUCAUGAAGCAGUUAAUCAAAGAACGAUUUUGCCUAUUUUAUAGCAUUUACAGCAAAUGUUGCCUUCAAAAUGUUUUGUUCACAAACGGUUACCAAUUGAUUAUCUUUUCCCUUCUUUAAUAAUGUUUAAUUCAAAAGUGGCCUAUCUAGCUUGAGAAACUGCUAGUCUUCUUACCUGUUUAUAACAUGAAUUAAUGUCAUUGAAGCAAUAUUAUCACACGUUCAAAGAGUUUGAACAGUUAAUAACUAGAUCAAGAUGUGUUAAGAACUUAAAACUGACUGCUUAUGGACUAUGCAAAUGUGUACCUAAUUUAUCACUUGUUUGUUUGCAGCAUUUCCAAGUCCAAUACAUAUCAACUUUUAAAGCCACAGUUUGAUAUAGCACUUUUUGAAAUUAUCUUCCCUCUUAUUUUCUUAAAUUGUAAUGAUGAGAUCUCUGGUGUGAAGACCCUCAUGAAUAUGUCAGGAAAGGUUAUGGUGGGUUGUUGCCCUUUUUUUGGCAACACAUGUCAUUUUUUAUCUGUCCAGAAAAUGCAACUGUUAUUGUAAAAGUUUUUGGAAAAUCUGUGUGAGCUUAGAAAAACUUAUUAAUUAAGCAUUUUGUCGAAUUCAUUUCUUCUAUAUUAUUUGUUUGGCAAAGCUUUCCUUCCUUAGGAUAUAUGUGUUGUCAGAUAUUAUAAUUUAUUGAAGAUCUGUACAGUCCGCGCACUCCAUCCAUUGAUUGCAGAGCUAGUAGGAAACAUGGAAAAGAAACCUCCAGAGAUUCGUUUCCUUUGUUAGAAAAAAAUUUGUCAGCUAUGAUGGGGCAGCUCAAUGCUACAAACCAUAUAGGCAAAAAGAUGAUGCUCUUUUAGCCAUAGGGGCCUUAUGUGAUAAGAUGAAGUGGACUGAGCCAUACAAACCUCAAAUUGAACAAAUGCUAGUGGAGCAUGUAUUUCCUGAAAUUAAAAACCAAGUUAGUCAUUUGAGAGAAAAGGAUCGCAGCGGAAUUCCUGUAAACUGAUCCUAGACGCGUAUUCCCAGCCUAAGGAAAUCGUAUGCAGUGGAUGUCAACCAAUGGCUAGUGAUUAGAGCAGCGUAUAUUCAGACUGAAGUCCAGACGUGAUUUUUCCUCAGCGAUUUCCUCCCCUUUAUAUCUCUCAAUUUGAGGGAGAGGUCACACCUCUUCAUCAUGUAUGCCCUUUGGAAAGAGUGCAACUCUUCAUUAUUUCUACCCUUUGAAAGGGACACAGGCUUUCAUAAUCAGAUGUGCACUUAUUAUUUAAAUCAGAUCUGCACUUCUCAUUUUCAAAUUAUCCCCCCUCUCAAAUGAGGUUCUCUUCUCCCUUUUAUAUUUCAUUGUUGAGGGAGUCACAACUUUUCCUUUCAUGUCUUUUGACUUUUCAUUAACUUAAUUAAUUUUUAAUUAAUCAUAUUUAAUUAUAUUAUUUUAUAUUUUAAUUUAAAUUUUAAUGUCUUAAUUUUAUUAUUAUCAUUUAUUAUUAAAUUCUAUUUCAAAGUUGGGACAUUACAUGUAGAACUUGAGCCAUUUUACUUUUCUGAUAACUCAGUUUCGUUCUUGAAUAAUCUGAAUACAUCUUUUGGAUUGCUAAUUCUUCAAUAUUCAAAAUUGAUUUAUUAUUCAUUACAGUUCGAGAUGAGGCACUAUAUAGCAUUUUCCAUUACAUGGUUUUUGGAAGUUGGUGAAAAAUUUGAAUAGUUGUUACCUAUUCCCUUGAAGUGGGAUUUUAUUUCCAAGUAAAAUUUCAUCUUCAGGUCAGUCCGAGUGUGAUGCUAAUAUACUUGCAGUAUCAGUCCAUUCCCUUGAAGUGGGAUUUUAUUUCCAAGUAAAAUUUCAUCUUCAGGUCAGUCCGAGUGUGAUGCUAAUAUACUUGCAGUAUCAGUCCAUUGCAUAGUUGGUAAUGCAUAUAUCAGUGCUGAAUAUGCUUUCAGCAUUUACAAACAAACUUGGGCUGUUUGAGGGAUUUUGCAUUUUGGAUUUUGAAAGCUUGGCCGCGCACUUGAAAUGUAACUUGGAGGGUUGCUCCACUAAGAGUAAUGAACUGCUUUUAGCUUGUUUUAGUGCUUGCAUUUACCCUUGCUGUUCAGGCAUAAUGCUGAGCUGUUUGUAUCAUUCCUACCUUGAGACAAGUUAUGAUGUGAUGUACGAAGGACCCUUCCAAGGUAAUAAGAAACUUCAGAUAAAUGGAUUGCUUCGAAUAUCCUUUACAUUUGGCACAGAUUUUUUUACAGUUUCAGAGAAUUGGUAGCUGAUUGCCACUGGCUGUUUAGCAUUAGGGAUACAUUUGUUGCAAAAACAAUCAUUAAUUAAAAUCUAGCAAUACAUAAUACUGUUGAAUUAUAAUUAAUUUAGUGCUAUAAGUUCCCAUGCCUGGUUCUCACUAAUUCCAGUAGCUCAAAGAUUAUAUGUCAUUGUCUCAGACGCCUUCCCUGCCCCUAGAAUCCCCAUGUUUUUGGGACAGGGACUUAGAAGGGGAUGAGUUCUCCCCUGUCCCGCCACUGCCACUCAACACCCAUGGACGUUGUCGGGAUGCCCUCUGGUUAGGGUAUGGCUUGGGGGCUCCUAGGGAUUCGAAGGAGUCUCCCAUCUAUCUCAGGGACUUUCAGGGGAUCCCAUGGCAGUAAAAUAAAAAAAAUAGUAUUUUUUUUAAUAUCAAAAAGUGUUUUCAAUUUGCAUCUGUAAGCCCUAACCCAAAUGGUCUAUGAGCUCCACCCAAACCCUAAGCACUUACAAAAGAUUUAUAAAUAGGCAUAUAACUUCUAAGCCUCAUUUCAGAUCACUCACAAGUUUCAGAAUAGUAAGAUGCUACCAGCAGAUAAAGCAACAGUUUAUUCUGGCAAUAACUGAUUUAUCUUGAUUUAAUUUUUCCCACAAAUAUGUUUAUGUAUUCUGUUAGCAUAGAAUUUGGCAAUCUAAUUGGUGCAAAUCCAUGUUCUUAUUUCUAUUUAACUAAGAGAAAUUAUUUUCUUAAUUGUUAAGUAUAUUCACAUGCAGAUUAUGCCUGCUAUAUCUCAUUUGGGCAGACUCUAGUUUUCUAUGCAUCAGGUUGCAUAAUUUACAUUUUUUUAUUUGAUGACUCAAAAUCACGACUUCAAUGAAUGCACACAUGCCUAUUUUGUAAACAUAUUAUGUCAUUUUGUGCAUUGUGUACUGCCUAUUGCUCUGAGUGAUACCAAAGUUGUAAUUUUUUUCUAAUUUGGCUUGAAAUUAUUUGUAUAAUUUCUUGUUUUUCCAACCUGAUUUGCUCUAGAUAUCCUCUUGGUUUGACUUACACCUACUACACAUAUUAUAUCAUUUUGUACAUGUAUUACAGGUUUUUGAACCUAGUGAUACCAAACUCAUUGGAUUUUUUCUAAAUUGUUUUAAAAAUGUUUGUGCUAUUUUUGGAUUUUCUGAUUCGAUUUGCUUAUCGCAGACAUGCCUCUUUUGUAAACAUAUACUUUGUUUUGUGCAUGUUUUAAUGCUUUUCUCUUUGAGUGAUGCCACAAUCACAGUAUUUUCUUUUUUAAUCUGUAUCAAAAUUGCUUAUGCAGUUUUUGGUUUUCUGGUAAUUUCCUUUUGGUGUUCUAUUUAUUUGCCAAUUUUUCAUCAAAAUUACAAGUUGUAGAUGCAAUUACCUUAUUUUAGUUAUUUUUAAGGGCUGUAAUACAACUGAUUUGCAUAUCCUGCCUAUUAUAAAUGCAGAUUAUCCAGAGAAAUGGCCUAGCCUUCUUCCUUGGGUCUAACAAAUUUGCAAGAUCAGCAAGUAUAUGCUGUUGUUUAUGUCCUAAGAAUUCUUUCAAGUAUGAUUAGAGGUGCCCAAGCAACUCUUUGAUCCCCAACAUUUUUAAUGCUUGGAUGGUCUUGCUUUUAGCUAUGCUGGAAAGACCUUUUUAAGGAAGGGCAACUAACUAAUCCAGAACAAUGCAAAUCCAGGGAAUGGUGAAAAGUAAAGAAGUGGACAGUGCAUAUUCUGAAUUGAUUAUACACAUGAUUUGCAGAUCCAAAGCUCCUUAAGCCAGAGAACAAGCCUUCUGCUCAAAUGUUUCAGAAGCAUUUUGCAGGGAAAAUUUUAGAGUGCCAUCUUAACUUGUUGAAUGUUAUUUGUCAGGGUGGUUACCUUCCAGAUAGUCUAACCAAUCUUAUCCUCCAGUAUUUGUGCAACAGGCAGGUUUUGCUAAGUUCUGCAUAAACAGUGCAUUUUCUGUGAACUUGCUAUGUUUUAUACUUGUAUGUAUCUUUAUUGCCUGUAAAAACAUACGACUAGU